rnacentral:rRNA from 1 species
GAUGAACGCUAGCGGCAGGCUUAACACAUGCAAGUCGAGGGGCAGCGUGAGGGUUAGCAAUAACCCUUGACGGCGACCGGCGCAAGGGUGCGUAACGCGUGAGCAACUUGCCCUUAUCAGGGGGAUAACCGGUGGAAACGCCGACUAAUACCCCAUGGCAUUGAGUUGAGGCAUCUCUACUCAAUUAAAGAAAUUCGGAAACGGAUAGGCUCGCGUGACAUUAGCUGGAUGGCGGGGUAACGGCCCACCAUGGCGACGAUGUCUAGGGGUUCUGAGAGGAAGGUCCCCCACACUGGAACUGAGACACGGUCCAGACUCCUACGGGAGGCAGCAGUGAGGAAUAUUGGUCAAUGGAGGCAACUCUGAACCAGCCAAGUAGCGUGCAGGAUGACGGCCCUAUGGGUUGGUAAACUGCUUUUAUGCGGGGAUAAUGAUCCUACGUGUAGGUUUUUGCUAGGUACCGCAUGAAUAGGACCGGCUAAUUCCGUGCCAGCAG